AAGAGCGGUAGCGACUUCUGGCUACUGCAGUUCGUAAGACUGAAUCAAACGGAACGGUAACCACGAGAGAAAUAUGAUGAUGAAGGAAGACAAGGCUGUUGAAAUGCUGACCAAACGGUGGAUAAUUAUCGACCAGCAUUAAAAACCGAGGCGAGAGGAGGCUGUGACAUGCCAGGAAUAUUUCCUUCUCACGAACCUAAGACCAUUUAUCCCUCUCAUCAGAUGCUGAUGAUGGCAGCGCAACCUGCGUGAUUUCCUGCUGGGCCUGAAUGUUUUUCCUUUCCUAGGAAUUUCCCAGUUUUGCUUCCCCUUAGCUUCCAGCCCAACAGACAGAAUGAUUGAAGAGGGCAGUAGGAGUAAUAAGAUCAUGGUGGAGAAGAGACAGCUCUUCAUGGAGAUGAGGGCACAAAACUUUGAUGUCAUCCGGCUGUCGACAUACAGAACUGCAUGCAAGCUGCGGUUUGUUCAAAAAAGAUGCAAUCUUCACCUCGUGGACGUGUGGAACAUGAUCGAGGCAUUCCGUGACAACGGUCUGAGCACGCUGGACCACAGCGCUGAGAUCAAUGUGUCACGUCUGGAGACCAUCCUCUCCUCUAUCUUCUACCAGCUGAACAAACGCCUACCCACCACCCACCAGAUCAAUGUGGAGCAGUCUAUAGGCCUGCUGCUCAACUUUAUGGUGGCCACCUACGACAGUGAGGGCCAUGGAAAACUCACAGUGUUUUCCAUGAAGUCCAUGCUGGCGACUAUGUGUGGUGGGAAAAUAGUUGACAAAUUACGCUAUAUCUUCUCUCAGAUCUCGGACUCCAGUGGGACGAUGGUGUUCGCUAAAUUUGACCAGUUUCUGAGGGAGGUGUUAAAGCUUCCCACGGCCGUGUUUGAGGGGCCUUCAUUUGGCUACACGGAGCAUUCUGUGCGAACGUGCUUCCCUCAGCAGAAGAAGAUAUUGCUGAACACCUUUCUGGACGUUAUGAUGGCCGAUCCUCCCCCGCAGUGCCUCGUUUGGCUACCUCUCAUGCACCGACUGGCUAAUGUAGAGAACGUCUUCCAUCCGGUGGAAUGCUCGUACUGUCGCAGCGAGAGCAUGAUGGGCUUUCGCUACCGAUGCCAGCAAUGCCACGGUUACCAGCUUUGCCAGAACUGCUUCUGGCGCGGCCAUGCCAGCGGUCCCCAUAGCAACCAGCACCAGAUGAAGGAGCACUCCUCGUGGAAGUCCCCGGCCAAGAAACUGAGCCAUGCUAUCAGUAAGUCUCUGGGUUGCGUUCCCAUGGGAGAACCCCCACACCCUGUGGUCCCCGAGGCAGCUGACAGACCCCAGGAUCCGGUACACCCUCUCACUCUGGAGAGCCCCAGCAGACUGGAUGAGGAGCACCGUCUCAUUGCCCGCUACGCUGCUCGGCUGGCAGCCGAAGCCAGCAACUCUACACAGAGCCCGCCAGCUGACCUGAGCUUCAACUUCGAUGCCAACAAGCAGCAGAGGCAGCUCAUCGCCGAGCUGGAGAACAAAAAUAGGGAGAUCCUACAGGAAAUCCAGCGGCUACGUCUGGAACAUGAGCAAGCGUCUCAGCCCACGCCCGAGAAAGCCCAGCAGAACCCAACUCUCCUGGCAGAGCUACGCCUGCUCCGGCACAGAAAGGACGAGUUGGAGAAGCGCAUGUCGGCUCUGCAGGAGAGCAGGCGUGAGCUGAUGGUGCAGUUAGAAGGUCUCAUGAGGCUUCUGAAGGAUGAAGAGCAGAAGACCGCUCAGUCGGGCGGCUCGCCCCACUCCUCGCCCAGCCACAGUGCCAGCUGCACCAUGCCCAUGCCCAUUCGCUCCACCUCCGCCGGGUCCACACCCACGCACACGCCGCAGGACUGCCUGGCCGGGGUAGGGGAUGACGUGCUGGAUGCUUUCUCUCAGGGUGUACCUAGAAAUCUUCGUAAUGAUCUUUUGGUGGCUGCGGAUUCAAUCACGAAUACCAUGUCUUCACUGGUAAAAGAGCUCCACUCAGUGGAUGACGGUCUGGAGGAUGACGAGGUGAACGUGCGUAACGGACGCGACAAAGGUGAGUCGUUCUCGUCUUCGGCUCACCACCUCACAGAUUCAGCUGUGAGUGUGGAACUAGCACAGGGAGUAAGGACGUGCCAACACAGCUUCUAGUCCGAACCUGUAGAACAGAAGAGCUCACGUCUUUUUCCCACCUGAAAAAAACGCAGCCCUAGAACUGAUGGGAGAAGGUAUUAGAAGAUGGAAUUCAGCUUCCACAUGAACUAAAACAAGCCAAAACAGAGUUAGCACAUCAUCAGCUGUGUUUUAGCUUUCCUUUCUGUCUGUUUUCUAGCUGAGUCUGAGUAAAAGAGUAUGGAAUAUUACAUUGUCAGCGCAGAGGCAUUAUGGGAACAGACACUCCACUCCCUCAUUCUAGACAUCUGGAUGUGACCGGCCAGAACCAGCGACAGCUAAACCCUCUCCUGGUAUUAGCACGUAGAGUAAUGCAUGCUCUUCCCAACAAGGUUUCACUGUGUGAAACAUACACUUCAUCACACUUUACAGAGAGCAAGCUGUAUCUACUAAGAAAAAUAUAAAUAUAUAAAUAUAUAUAGUGCUAUAUGUCUAUCUGUAUAAACCUGUUGUAAUUAUGUAACAAUCUCACUCAUGUCUGCAAAGGAAUGGCUUGUUUGUGCUUUGUCACAUGACCUUUUAUUGAUGACCAGUGUCAGAAAAGCUCUCACUGUGCAGUCGGUGCCAACAUGGCCCGUCCCACUUGCUUUCCUGUGGGUGUCCUCUUCAGAUGAAGAUUUCAUAUCAUUAGUGAUAACUCUUGCGUUGUUUGAGUUUUGCAUGGCGAUUACUGUGGGAGGGGCCUAGUCAUGAACCUGCAUGUAGCGUUUAUUUUUCGCUGAGCUGAGGGAGUGCUCUCUUCCACUCAUCCAGUGGCGUUCUUCACAAACUGCUGCUAGGCCGCUCAAGCCGUGACGAAGCACUGGGUCAGGGUUUUCCCUGCGAGGCAGGUGUUCGGCUUGGGAUCUAUGUGAGGACGCUACGUUUAGCCAGGUGUUGUUAUCGUACGUGCUUAUGUGUAUUAAUUCCACUCUAUUAUUUUGCACACCCCUCAACAGCCUUCCAGUUUGGUCAUUUUGCAUCUCAGCCAUAUGGACCUCCAAACAUCAUCCCAUUAAGAGAAAAUAAACUCUGCUUAAGAAAACAUAAAAGGGUGCUUAAUGGAAUUACGUGGAUAUGUAUGUCUGUAAGCAAAUUUGGGACACGUUAACUGUGAGUGGAGGUGUCAUUCUGUAAAGGUUUGUUCUAUUAUAUUUUGUUUGGUUUUUUUGUUUGUUGUUUGUUGUUCUUCUUUUUUUUGGGGGGGGGGGUAAAAGUAGUACUCUAAAUAAUAAAUAAGUGAAACCAGUGCUCAGGGACUGUGGAGAGAGGUGGAAUGCAGUAGCAGCGCUUGUGAACAAAUGGGUGGAACUGAGUUCAGCCCAACUAGGGUCACAAGUCAAAGAUUAGCCCAGGCCAUAAAACAUUUAUGCAGUCUCCUGAUUGGCUGAUAGUGGUGAACUGUGGUGAGUUGUUGCAAGAGGUUGCUGUUGGACUGUGCUGAGAAGAUAAACCAUGUAAUGGUGAGAUGGAGAAAAUGUUUGGGGUUGUGGGGCCUGAUGGGGAACUAUUUGGAUUAUGUUGGAUUAGUGUUUGGAUGAUGUGGACUAGUGUUUGGAUGAGGUUGGACUGGUGUUUGGAUAAUGCUGGACUAGUGUUUGGAUCAUGGACUAGUGUUUUGCAGUCAACAGCUUUACAGUCAUGAACAAGAAAAGAAUACUACUUGAAUCAGAAAGAAUUCAGGUUGAACAAUUGCAUUAAUCAGAAUAUUAUGAUGUAUAUAGUUGUAUGUUCUGUUUAUCAUAGGUUUGGUUGCAAAUGAUGAGUAAUAUUAUUUAGCAUUUAUAUAAAAAGUUGGAAAUAAGAGUCUAUUAAAUUAUGACUAUGAUAAAACAUGAAUGUUAAGAUUGCAUACAUUGUUUGAAGGACAUGUCUUGAGAUUUUGUGAAUUUAGGUGUAGAAUAUUAAUAUUAUUUAGGAGACCACUUUGUGGGAAACAGCAGAUGGGCACUAGGCAAUUAUUCAUGUAUACUGUACUUCUACAUAAAAGCGUGUAGUUCUGCACUUAGUCUAUAGAAUGCCUAUCACAAACAAUAUGUUCUCAUUUACUGUUAUACACUGUGUAAAUUCAAAUGUCCCCUUGGUAAAAGUGGGUGUAUUUAGUUAUAUUUGUUAUUUUUAUGAUUUUUAUGAUAUAACAUUUGAUUAUAGAUGAAGCUUAAUUUAUUGUUUACAGAAAAUAAAAUAAUUUGACAUUUUAGGUGGGAACUUGAUUCAUUGUCUUGAAACAAAAAAUGUGUAGUGUAUGGCUUCAAAAUUAAAACAAUAAAUCAUUUAUUUUGUCAUUGUUACCGUACCAUAUUAAGUACAAACCCAACCAAACCAUGCUUGAAAGGUGGACAGGAAUGAUCAUGUUCUAACAUUUGCUACAAAUAUGAAUGCAAUCUUAUGAUGUAGGUGUGCCUAGAUGUACUGUAUAAAGUGCUCUAUAAAUAAAAAAAAUAAUUCUGCACAUGUGCAAGGCAGCGCUUAGAUAGGAGUUUUAGUAUGUGACUUUGUAGGAAUGCAAUUAUUUAUCUGUGCUCACUGGAAAAUUCCUUGUUCUGCCUUUAAAUUUGUGCCAAACUGUUUGCCAACUUUCAGUGUGCCCAUACGUCAUUGUUCUGUGUGUUUGUGUUUAACCACAGUCUAUCGAUUAUAAAUUUACCGAGGUAGUCCACUGAGAGAGUUACCAAUAAUGGGGCUGCUUUCAAAGGACGAAACACAAUCCAUGUACAAGUCUGCGAAAUUAACCCUGAGGUCAAUGAUUAACUACUGCUGGACUAUAUUUGUGACCAACUAAAGUGGACCUGUAGUGGCAUCUUGGCCAGUACUUUAAACCAAGCUACUGUACCUUUUUAUGUAUCAUUGUAAUUCUAUACUUUGUUUGCAAGACCAGAUCUUGUCACUUGAAAUUUCAAAAUCUUAAGUCUUAAUUAUUCAUUUUAGGGCUUUGCCACAAUUAAUUGUUCGAUUGCAAUGUUUGACUUUCAUAUUCUCAAAGCCAUGAUUUGUCUCUUUCUGAUGUAUGUCUUUUUUGUAAAUUAUUAAAGGUCAAAUAUGUUAAAAGAUA